ensembl:lncRNA
UUCUCAAAGCGGCAAAGGAAAGACGAAAAGAAGUUAAAGACGCCAUUAUCAAAGGUAACACUUUGAAAUUCUGCACUUUUUUAUAUUACUUACUCUCAAUAUACAUUUUAUAUUUCUUAAAGUUUUCAUAUUGUGCAUUAAUUUGGUAGCCUAUCUAGUAAAAAACAAGAAUGUAAUGAAUGCAUAGAAACACCUGAUACGUGAAAGAAGAUGUAUUGUUGAUUACAGACCUCGAGGAGGAGAAAAAAGAGGGAGCCAAACUUGAGGAAAUCAUUGAAAAGAAACCAAAAGAAGAAAAGCUAAAGGAAGAGGCUAAACCAUUUGAGAAGAAACCACUGAAGCACAAAGAAGAAGAGACUAAAAAGAAGGAAGAACCCAAUAAACCACCCAAAGGAGAGAAAAGAGUGAAGCAUACUAAGGAGGAGAAAGAAACAAAACAGGUGACAGAACCUACUCAAGUAAAAACAGAAGCGAAGAAACCAAUAAAACAGAAAGACGCCAAGAAACCAUCUAAAACAGAACAAGAUGUCAUGAAACCAUCCACUGGAGUCAAGAAACCACUAAAAGAAGACAAAGUAGUCAAGCUACUACUUAAAGAAGAGAAAGAGGUUCAGAAAGAAACUAAAGCAGAGAAAGAGGAAAAUAAAUCAUUAAAAGGAGUCAAAAAAAUACCUCAAGAUGAGAAAGAGGAAAGGGAAGUUAAGAAAGCAUCUAUAGAGGAGAGAGAAGUCGAGAAACCAUCUCAAGGUGAGAAGGAGGUCAAGAAACUACAUGAAGAAGAGAAAGAAGUCAGGAAACCAAUUCAAGAAAAGGAAGCAGUAAAGAAAUCAUCUCACAAAGUGAAAGAAGUCCAGAAACAAACUCAAGCAGAGAAAAACAUCAAGAAACCAUCUAGAGAAGAGAGGUAUGUGAAGAAAAACGACAAAAAAGAAGUGAAGAAACCACCUAUAGAGGAGAAAGAGAUCACGAAAGCAUCUCCAGAAGUGAAAGAGAUCAAGAAACCAUCUGAAGAACAGACAGAGGUCAAGAAGACUAGACAAGAAACACAAUACAAGAAAGAAGAGAAAGAAGUCACAAAAGCAUUUGAGGAAGAGAGAGAAGUCAAGAGACUAUCAAGAAAAGAUAAUAAAGUUGAGAAACCAUCUGAAGAAGAAAAAGAAGUCAUAAAAUCCCUUGGACAAGAGAAACAAGUCAGGAAACCAAUUGCAGAAAAGAAAGAGGUAAAUAUAUCAUCUCAAGAAGAGAAGGAACCUCAAAAACCAACUCAGGCCCUGAAGAAAGUCAAGAAACGAUCGAAAGAACAGACGACGGUCACGAAACACACUAGACAAGAAAAACAAUGCAAUAAACCCACUCGAGUUGAGAAAGUAGUUGAAAAAAACCCUGUAGAGGAGAAAGAAGUCACAAAACCACGUGAAGAGAGCAAAGUCAAGACACCAUCCAGAGAGGAGAAAAGAGUCAAGACGCCACUAAAAGAAGAGAAACAAAUCAAGAAAACAUCUAAAGAGGAGAAACCAUUCAGGGAAACUUCUAAAGAAGAGAAAGAGGGCAAGAAAACACCUAAAGAACUGAAAAAAGUCAAGAAACCACUUAAAGAAAAGAGAGAAGUCAAGACUCCACCCAAAGAGGAGAAAGAGCUCAAGACACCACCGAAAGGAAGGAAAGAAGUCAAGACACCACCCAAAGAGGAGAAAGCAGACAAGAAACCACUUAAAGAAAAGAAAGAGGUCAAGACUCCACCCAAAGAGGAGAAAGAAGUCAAGACACCACCCAAAGUGGAGAAAGAAGUCAAGACACCACCCAAAGAAAAGAAAGAAGUCAAGACUCAACUUAAAGAAAAGAAAGAGAUCAAGACUCCACCCAAAGAGGACAAAGCAGACAAGAAACCACUUAAAGAAAAGAAAGAGGUCAAUACUCUACCCAAAGAGGAAAAAGAACUCAAGACACCACCCAAAGUGGAGAAAAAGGUCAAGACACCACCCGAAGAGGAGAAAGAAGUCAAGACACCACUCAAAGAAAAGAAAGCAGUCAGCACUCCAUCCAGAGAAAAGGGAGAAGUCAAGAUACUAUCUAACCGAGGAAAAGGAUUAAAGAAUUCGCCAAAAGAAGAAAAAGAAGCCAACAAACCAUUGAAAGUACAUAGAAAUGUAUACAAACCAUCAAGGGCGGAGAGGGAAGUUAAUACAUCUUCUUUAAAAGGAAGAGAAGCCAAGAAACAACUUAAAGAAGUUAAAGAAGCAAUAAAACCAUCUCAAGAAGAGAAAGAGGUGAAGAAACAUCUUAAAGAACAGAAAGAAGAGAUAAAACCAUCUCAAGAAGAAAAAGAGGUGAGGAAACAUCUUAAAGAACAGAAAGAAGAGAUAAAACCUCUGAAAGAAGAACAAACUGAAAUGAAGUCUCACAAAGAUGAGAAUAAAUCACUCAAAGAAAGGCUACAAUUGAAACUGAAAAAGCCUCAAGAAGAAAUUGUAGCGAAAGUAAUGAAGCCCAAAGAACUGAAGGAAGCAGGGGAGCCUUCCAAGGAAAGGAAAGAAUUGAAGAAACAUUCAAAAGAAAAGGAAAUAAGGGAGCCACCGAAGGAGGACAAAGAAAUCAAGAGACCUACAAAAGAAAAAGAGAAAAAAGAGGUUAAGAAUCCAUCUGAAGAUGACAAAGAAGUAAAAUACUUAAAGAAAGGGACGAAAGACAAGAAGCCGUCUCUGAGGGAUAAAAAAGAAAAAAUACUUUCAGUGGAGGAAAAAGAAGUCAUCACACCCAUAAAGAAAGAAAGAGACCCAAAGAAAUCUUCAAUGGAGAAAAACCAAGCAAAACCUUCCAAAGAAAAGGCAGUUCCAAAAAAGCUCUCCAGAAGAAAACAAGCACAAGAGAAACCUUCAAGAGAUGGAAAGGAAUCAACAAUACUCUCUCGAAAGGAAGAAAAUGAACCAAAGAAGCUCUCUGAAGAACAAGACCCUGAGAAACCCUCCAAAGACCAGAGAGAAGUGACUCCCAAAGAGCAAAGGGAAGCAAAGAAAAUAUCUAUUGAAAACGUAGAACAAACAAAACCCUCCACAGAGAAAGAAAUCAAAAAGACCCAUAAAGACCAACCUGUCCAGAUUGGUGAUACUAAGAAAGAGGCUGGACCCAAAAAGACUGAGAGGAGGAUUAAAGUAGUCAAGGAAGAGGUUGCAUCUGUUCUAAAGAAGGAACACCGUAAUGUCACAAACGCAGCUGUGGAACCCAAGAGGGCAGUCGAGGUGCUGAAAGCUGCCAAAAAGCAGAGAGUUCUUAUCCCGAAAAAGGAGCACAUGAUUGUGACAAAGACAGAGGUUCCUGAAACUCCUAAAGUGAAAGCCAAACAAGAAUCUGCAAAGAAAGUGGCAGCUCAUAAAGAGCCCGUACAGGAACCAAAGGAAAAAAAUCACACCUACGCGUGUUAA